GACGUAGGGCGCGAGCGUUGUUCGGAUUCAUUGGGCGUAAAGGGUGCGUAGGCGGCGCGGUAAGUCGGGUGUGAAAUCUUGGAGCUUAACUCCGAAACUGCAUUCGAUACUGCCGUGCUUGAGGACUGGAGAGGAGACUGGAAUUUACGGUGUAGCGGUGAAAUGCGUAGAUAUCGUAAGGAAGACCAGUGGCGAAGGCGGGUCUCUGGACAGUUCCUGACGCUGAGGCACGAAGGCCAGGGGAGCAAACGGG
rnacentral:rRNA from 1 species